rnacentral:pre_miRNA from 1 species
CCUCUGUAUAAUUUUCAUAUUCAACUUUAAUAGUCUGUCUUAUUUAGAAUUUUUUUAUAAACUAGUAUUUUUAUUGUUAUGAGAUUGUUAAAAUAUGAAUAAUAGUUUAUAUGUGACUUAUGUUUUUUUAAAAAAUUUUAAAAAAAAAUAAAUAAGAAGAACGGUCAAAAUUAUACACGAAAAAUGAUAGCUGCAUUUAAA